rnacentral:lncRNA from 1 species
AUGCCUCCGGGGGUUAAUGCCCCCUGGGUUCCCCCUCCCAACACCCAGCCCCACUCGCUGGGUCCCCCGCCCCUCCUACCCUCCGGACCCCCCCUCUCCAAGGAGGACUUCUACAGACAGAGGAGACUCCAACAGGAACAGGUAACGUCCAAGCUGGAUGAGUUCACUAAAGACUUUGCCAAAGAGCUGAUGGAAUACAGACCUGCUCCCAAGAGACGGAGACGCUCCUACUCCAGGUCUCGUUCCUACAGCCGUUCUCCGUUCAGCCGUUCCCCCUACUCCCGAUCUCCUCGCUCCCGCUCCAGGUCUUACUCGUACACCCCCAGCCGCUCCCGCUCCCGUUCCAGGUCUUACGGACGCUCCCCCUUCUCCAGACGCAACGGAGGCCGGGGAGGACGCAGCCGCUCCUACGGCCGCUCGCCACGGUCCCGCUCACGCUCCCGUUCCUACGGCUACCGUCGCUCCGGUUCUCCUCGCUCCCCACCGCCUUACCGAGGUGGUGGUGGUGGUGGUGGUGGGGGCUGGGAAGGAGGAGACGGAGCUGAAGGAGGAGGAGGAGGGGGGUAUCGGCCCAGGUCUCGCUCCCCGGGGGGCUACAGGAGGAGCAGGAGUCCUGGAGGGGUUAGAGGUCACCAUAAGCCCCCACCUCGAGAGCCGGCUCCUUACGAGCCUAAAGGCGGACCUGACCUGUCUCCCGGGGGCAGGGAGCGCUGGGAGAGAGACAGCUACAGACAGUGGGAGAAAGAGUACAGGGACUGGUACAACAAGUACUACAAAGACUACAGUACCCAGCAUGCCUCGGUGCACCACCGCGGUGGCCGGGGCAGCAGAGAGAGGGACCGCCUCACCCCUCCUCCCAGAGACUACUCCCCCCAGGGGCGGGUGAGGAGGGGUGAGAGAGGGGGACCUCCCGGACCCCACAGAACUCACCACGCCUUGUCCGCUCUGCCCUCUGCCUCCGUCAGGGGGGGCGGAAGUAAGGAACGCACGCAGGGGGGAACCAAAACGUCAGAGGGCGGAACUAAAACUCUGAAAGGGAAGAAACUGAAGAAAAAGAAGAACGGGGAGGAGCUGGAUUCAGCCGACCAAUCGCUGGACAGGGGAGACGCCACACCCGUCAGGGACGAGCCAAUGGAUGAUCUCCACACCCUGACCCCUAGCAAAGCCCCACCCACCUCCACCAAGGUCUCGACCAAUAAGGCAGCGCUGCUGUCCGGUAAAACCCCUCCCACCUCGUCCGGCCAAUCAGAGAAGAGCAGGAAGGAGAAGGGGGGUAAGGUGAAAGUAAAGACGGAGGGAAAGGUGAAAGGAGAGAAGGUUAAGAGAAAGACGGGAGGAGAGGCGACGGUCACAGCCUCUAAGAACAAAGAGUCUUCAGCCGCUAAACCAACCAAAGCAUCCAAACCAGUCAAACCAGACGAGCCAAUCAAGAGAGAGAAGGGGCGGAGCACCCCUACUGUUCGAGGAGGUUUGGCUAAACUCCCCCUGCCCCGCCCCCUCCCACCUCACCCCCACGACCUCCCUAAACACCUGGGCGACGCCCGCGGGGGAAGGAGAGAUCCCAUUCACAGUGUCGGGGUACGCCCCCCUGGUCGCCCCCUCCAGCCUGCACCUCCCUCCCCAGCGGAGAAGAGGAGGAGAGUGGAAGAGAGGGAAAGGGGGAGGGGGAUGGACAGGGGGAUGGGGGGGCCCCCAGCUAAGCUCCGCCGAGCCGAGGGUCCGUACCUCCAGAGAGGACUUCCUGCCAAGCCUUCCCUCCUCCUGAACCUGGCAUGCAGAGAGUCGGGUAGAGGAGAGGGUCUGCUCCCCAUCCCUGGUUCCUCACAGACAGGGAGGCUAGACCGUUUCCAUCCCAUCUCCAUCUCCAUCCCUGGUUCCUCCAUGGACCUGGGGAGAGAGGGGAGAGGCGACGGGCUGCUGCCCAUCCCAGGGAGCUCUGAGGCGGGCAGAAGAGAGAGUGACAGGGGGUCUAUCUGGCCUCUCAUGGGUCUGCAGGUCAAACCCUUCCCCCAGAGGAGAAUCAAACUGAACAGAGACCUGGGGAGGAACAGCAGUAUGGCCCGCCCAGAGGAGAGACCAGCUCCAGCUGCUAAUAUCACCACUACUAUCACCUCUACUGGAGAGAGACCUGCUGGUCCUGAGAGAGCAGAGAGGGAUGGAGGGACAGAGAGGGUGGCGGUGAUGGUGGAGCGGAGGUUGUCUGGCGAGAGGUCAGAGGUCAGGUCUGUUAGGUCCGAGAGGCCGUCGUCAGGGGAACGUUUGCCGGAGAGAGGAGGAGGAGGAAGGUCAGUCUCUCUAGACCGCAUGACCAUCGCGGAACGCUCGGCCAUCGCUAAGAAACCUGAUGUCACCGGGGAGAGAACAGAGAGCGGGUACACGCCGCCCGCUGAGAGAGAGAGACCAGCUGAGAGCUCCAAGGAGAGAGAGAGACCAGCUGAGAGCUCCAAGGAGAGAGAGAGACCAGCUGAGAGCUCCAAGGAGAGAGAGAGACCAGCUGAGAGCUCCAAGGAGAGAGGGAGACCAGCGUCAGCCAAGACGGACAGGUCAUCAUCCAGGGAGAAGUCAGCCACCAGGGAACAGAAAGGAGAGAAGACCUCGUCCUCCGUAGACAGACCUGCCUCUACAGGGGAGCGAGCGGCAGGGUCCCAGAGAGAGACUGUAGCUGAAGACAGAGCAAUAGCAACAGCAGUGGUGGUGGUGAAGGAGGGUUCUGGGAAGACCAGAAAGAUCAGCAGAAAGAGUUCUGAGCCCACGACCCACCACUCAUCAGACCACUCUGUCACUUCAACUGGCAGCAGCAGGUCUGAGCCGAGCCAGAGCCAGGGUGCUGUGUCAAAACCCCGGGACCUACAGACCCAGAGGAGACCCAGUCCCGUCCAGUUCCCCAGCCCAGGCAGGGAGAGGAGGGACCGUGGGACCGGAGGAGUCCUCAUCCAGCCUCCACCCCGGUCCAAGUGGGAGAGAGAGGAGGAGGAGGAAGAGGAGCAGCACUCAGCGUCCAGGGAGAAUGGGGCGUUGGCGGUUUCCUCCUCCGUGCCCAGAGACGCUCUGAGGAGAGAAGUCUCACCAGCACCGCCUAGUGGCCAAGGCAGGGAGGUGCAGGGUAGUGUCUCUAAAACAGCCAACACAGAGGGGAGGAGAGGGAGGGAGGAGGGGACUAGAAGGAGGGAGGAAGGCAGAGGCCUUAAAAAGGGUCAGGUGAACUUUAGAAAACCAGCUAAGACCGAAUCCAGAGGAGUGAAGGAGGAAGGAAGAGGAGGGGUAGGGAGGGAGGAGAGUCGAGGGGCGGGGCCAGAGCCAAGGCGACAGCGUCUGUGUUCCGACCUGGGUAGAGAGACGGACGAGGCAGCCUUCGUCCCCGACUACAGCGAAGGGGAGGGGUCAGACGGGGAGCGAGGCAGUGGCCUGAGCCAUAGCCCCUCACACAACACCCAGAGCCCCGCCUCCCAGAGCCCCGGCGGCUCCCCUAGCAACCACAGCGGCUCCACGGCGACGGACAAGAAGAAGAAGAAGAAACACAAGAAACAUAAAAAACACAAGAAGCACAAGAAGCAUUCUGCCGACGUUGAGCCUCCCGUCGAAGGAAGGAAGGAACACAAACACAAGAACAAGAAGAAGAAGCACAGGAAGAAUAAAGAGGAAGAGGGAGGAGGAGGAGAGGCAGAGGAGAAGACUGGGCAGGAGUCAGCCAACAUCUGA